CUUGCUCAGGGUCAUACUGCAGGUUCAAUGUUUAUCAACCCUCUGCUACUGCCCAGUUGCUAUGCCAGGGUCUCUGGCCAACACAGCAGAUAGAAUCUCUGAUGUGCAGAGUUCAUGGUCAGGGUAGAGGUGGGGGUGGGACAACCUGCAAACAGGUCUAUGAGGAAUAUUAAGCAGGGACAUGCCAUAUGGUAUGCCUGAGCUCGGUACACGUUGAAUGAAUGACUGCGUCCCCAGUUGUACAUCAGAUGUUGCUUUAGCCCGGGCUGGUCAGAAAAGGGUGCACUGAGGUGACAUCUCAGCUGAGAUCCAAAAGGUAAGAUGAUUCUGGCCAUGGCAGGGGCUAGGGGAAGAGCAAUCCAACUGAAGGGAACAACAGAGUGGAGGGGUCCCUGCCUUUUACAUCCUACCCUCAGCCACCAGAACUGAAGCCAGGCCAGGAAGACCCAAGAAGCAUAACCACAUGGAGAAGAGCCAUACUGCUGUCCCAAGAGCAAGAACAUGCAGUUUAGCCUGCAGAAGGCAAGUGGUGCUUCCCUUGAUGCUCUGAGGUCAAGCUUUUCCUGGAGAUAGAAGAAACAGCAUGGAAUGGAUGCUACAAUGAGACUGUAGGAAAACUUUGUAAUGAAGACAUACAGCAUGUGAGCUCUUCUUCCUGAGAGAUAGAAAUCAGGGACCAGCACCAUACUGAGACUUUGCCAAGAGGAUUAAAUAAUAGUUCAUGUGGUGGUGCAUGUCUGUUAUCCCAGCACUCAGGAGGCUGAGGCAAUAAGAUCGCUGUGAGUUCAAGGCCAACCUGAGCUACAUAGUGAGUUCAAGGACAGCAUGGACUCCAUAGGGAGACCCAGACUCAACAAAACAAAACAAGAGUGCACAGUGCCUGGCAGAGAGCAGGCAGCUAAUACAAUGUGGCUGCACUGGUUAAUGGGAAAGACCUGCUCAGCAGUAUCCAGCUCUCCCAAUCUCCUCCUGUCUUAGUCCAUGUUUUGGAGCCAGGGGGCCAGAAUUGGCACCACUGUGCAAAUGAAGGUGUCUGCAGGACCUCGUUCUCUCCUGAGGCUUUCCAGGAAGACCUGCCCUGUGCCUUUCCCACUUCUGUGGCUGCAGCUUCCUUGGCUCAUGGUGAACCCUUCUACACUUCAAGGCCAGCACCUACAUCUCUCUGCUCCAACUCCAUGUCGUUUCCUUCUUGAUAGGUGUGUCACAUUCCCCCCACCUCCCCUAUAUGUGCCCCUGUCCUUAUAGAGGACACAUGUGGCUGCAGAUGGAGUCAUCUGGAUCUGCUGAGAUCAUCUCUGCAUCUCCACAUCCUGAUCACACCUGCAAAGACUCACCCUACCUCUUGCCAUGUAAGAGAAACUUCUCAGGUACCAGGGUUGGGAUGACAAGAUGUUCUGGAGACCAUUACUCAGAGUGUCUGAGGUAGGCAGCAUAGGACUGUCAAGGUAGACUCCUGGAAGAGGUAAUGUGUGCCCUGGCAGGCCACUGCCCAGCACCUGACACACGGUAGUGCUCACAGGUGGCAGUUUGUUGCUCAACAGGUAAAUGAGUGCACAGGCUACAGAUUGAUCUCUCUGUGGCUGCCACAGCUAGUAACCCGGUUGUGCUGACAUCUCCAACAGCAGGGGACAGACAGUGAAGACUGCCAGAGGUGGCGUGGGCACUAAGGAGCUACUCAGUGUUCUGCCCCAAGAGCCCUCUCCAGCUCUGGCUCCCCUCCAUGGCUCCUUAGUGUGGUGACCCAGGCACUGAGGCCCUAGUGUGUGGGCGCUGCCCAGACCAGGAGCAACUGAGCAGGCAAGGAGGCAACUCCCAGACGCUGCUUACCCACAAAGCAGAC
ensembl:lncRNA